GAGGAAUUGCUAGUGUGGCAGACUGUAAGUGUGGUUAGUGCUACUGUUAUACAAGCUCACUGGGUUUGAGAACAGGCCCAGCACACCUAGAAUACGGCCCGCCCGGGUAUCCUUUAAACCGAUGCCACGGACCCUGAAUGCAGUGGAAGACAUGAGCCAAUCCCUGGUCGAGGACGUCUCCCCUUCCACUGCCCCUGGCCUUUCAGAUCUUGAUUUGGAACCGCUUUGCCCCGCUCCCACAUGACAAUGAUUCUUGGAGAUUCCAUCAUCCAGCAUUGACUCCGCGCUCCUUAAGUCAAAGGUAAGGUAAACACUCGCUGUUUUCCUGGUGCUCGUGUUCUCGAUGUCUCUGCACAGGUACCCACGAACCUGAAAAAGAACUUUGGAACUGUUCUUCAUGCCGGAACAAGCGACACCAGGGUGAGGCAAACAGAUCUUAAAGAGGGAUUUCAGAAUCCUGGUGGAGACGGUAUGCAGCACAUUGCCCACGAUGAGUGGAGUGUCAGGACCACUUACAAGCGAGGAAUUGAGCAAAUUUUCUCUGGGCGUGUCCUAGGUUUUUCUGUCCUGAUGGCACCACAGCAGAGUUGAAGCUACAGUUCUAUCAGACAACAUCUCCAGGAUGUUGCAUACCCUCUAACUGGCGGCGCUACAGAGCCCUACUGCCAUGCCCAUGUUCCAGUCUUUGACCGGUCCUAACGGCAGAUGACUUUGACAUCCGCCAUUCAAUCCAUUGUCAGAGAGAGACUUGGGCAACAUAUGGACAUCGGCGGAAUCGCCAAACUCUUCAGAAAUAACCCCAACAACAUUAAUGAUCUGUGGGAAAAGCUAAGUGACCUCUGAUUGCUUCAAGAACUUGGCAUCACCUGCUGCAGACUGAUUGAGGUGGGGGCAUUAAAAGGGGUGUGCAAGGAAGUGGAAAGCAAGUGGGGCUAGUGCUAAGCUAAAGGUUAACCCUAGCUGGCCUGCUCUACCUUCCAUCUUGCUUGUAAACGUCUUCUCCCUGGACAAUACAUUGGACUACAUCAGACUCCAGCAAGCUACUCAAUGUGAGUACAGAUUCUGCUGUGUCUUUUGUUUUAAUGGCACUGUGGCUGCGCAAUUGAGAGUUCCGGAUACCGUUAUUCAGCUGGAGGGGCUAGCCCUGUGCGGUAAGACCCGUGGCGGACUAUGUUUAUCAACAUGGAUUGGUCUAAUAUCUCUGUCCUUGUUUCCACCUAUUGCUCACCGCUGGUGGAGUUUGAUUCAGUUGUGACCCUUAUUUACCCUGGGAUUUCACCACAGUUAUCGUACUUGGAGUGUACAUUCCUCAAAGCACUAAUGCUAAGGAGGCACUCCGUGUACUCAAUGGGGCCAUAAGCAAACUGCAGAACACGCACCCUGACGAACUGUCACCGGAGAUUUCAAUCAUGCAAAUCUCAGGACUGUGCUCCCUAAAUUUCAUCAGCAUGUGGACUUUGCACACACAGGGUUGCAUAAACGAGCUGAAUGUUUAUAGAAACAUCCUGGGCGUAUACUGGGCAAAACUCCACCCCACCUUGGCUACUCGGCCCACAUCUGUUAUGCUGAGCCCAGGAUACAGACCUCGUAACAGUCUUUCAAAGCCAGUUCACAUGCAGGCGAGAACUUGGCCAGCAGGAGCCAUCUCUUUUCUUCAGGACUGCUUUGAAUGAACUGGGACAUGUGUAGGGAGGUUGCUACCAAUGGUGAAGUCACUGAAUUGGAGUACACCUUGUUAGUGACCAGCUAUGUCAAGACCAUCACAUCUCCAAGAUAAUCACCAUACACUCUGACCAAAAGUUGUGGAUGACCCAAAGGUGUGUGCGCUGCUAAAAAAUAGAGCCUUCAGAAAAGGGUUCAAAGAACAUCAAGGGUCAAACUGUCCCAAAGCGCGUGCACUGAGAAUUCACGGCACUUUCCAGGACUGUGGAGACACCGGCACAUGUGGCAAUACAUCCAGGCUAUCAACUUCAUCUACCCGUGACAGUGAUGCAUCCCUCCCAAAUGUGCUAAAUGACUGUUUGUUCCGUUGUUCCGUUUGCGUGGUGGCAAGAAAGAACACCCCUCCUCCCAACCACCAAGAGCCCUGUCUAACCACAGCUGAAGUAAGAAACUCCUAUGCAGACUUAACCCAUGGGAGUCUGCUGGACCCGACAACAUUCCUGGCAGAGUGGUCAGGGAAUGUGCAAAACAACUAGUGGAUGUUUUAAGUCACUGCCUCAAGACAAUGACCAUUGUCUCUGUGCUUAAGAAGUCUACAAUCUCCCUGCCUAAGGAACUUUUGUCCCAUAGCACUCACCAAUUGUAAUGAAGUGCUUAGAGAGGCUGCUCAAGAGGCACAAAGACCCAGCUAACAUCCUCACUGGGUGUUAUUUGGUGUUUGAUUUGCAAUUUGUGUAUCAUCCAAACCAUUCCACAGAUGAAGUUAGACACGACCCACCAUCUGGCCCUCAGCCACCUGGACAAUAAGGACAAGUACAAAUGCUAUUCAUCGACAUUAUGGACGACCCCAAACACCCCUUGUAUACACUUUAACAGCUAUCAGGCCCUCACAUCCAGACUGUGCUAGUUUCAUCACGAUCUACUGACUCAUGAUGUGCAGACUGAUCUAUUUGGGCUCUCUCCACUGCUCAUGCCCUGGUCGCCACUGAACACUGGACUUCUUUCACUCCUUAAGAUAAGUGCAUCCUCACUUAACUCCAAUAGGCAGUGGUUCCAUUGCAACAUCCUGAUUUUCUCCUUUGCCAAUCUUUGGUUUUACACUAUAAAUAACUUGACAUUAAAUUUACAUUUCUGGCAUUUAGCAGAUGCCCUUGUACAAAGCGAGGUACAAAAGUGCUUUGUGUUAAGUUUGUAAUCUAGCAUACCAGUAUAGAUUUAUUAAUUGCUGGAGACUCAAAGUUGUAGGCUGAUUUUUAUCUUGUUUUUAAACAAAAAUAAAUAAAACUUGGAAAAGAUCUGAGCAGAAGUUGUGGUAUCUGAGUUGAGUGUCAUCAGCAUAGCAGUGGUAAGGAAACCCAUGUAAGGAUGAGUAUAGAGGGAGAAAAAGAUUAUCCAAUUAUCAUGUAACUUUUGCUUUUAGUUGUAGGCUAAUCCAAGUUAGUAAUCCAGCAUACCAGUGUAUAUUUUAUUUAUUCAUUGAUUAAAGCACUUUUGUAUGUUGCUCUGGACAAGGUGUUUGCUAAA